rnacentral:rRNA from 1 species
UACGAAGGGGGCUAGCGUUGUUCGGAAUUACUGGGCGUAAAGCGUGCGCAGGCGGCUCCUCAAGUCAGGGGUGAAAGCCCAGAGCUCAACUCUGGAAUUGCCUUUGAGACUGAGUGGCUUGAGUACGAGAGAGGUGAGUGGAAUUCCCAGUGUAGAGGUGAAAUUCGUAGAUAUUGGGAAGAACACCGGUGGCGAAGGCGGCGACCUGGUCCUUUACUGACGCUGAGGCGCGAAAGCGUGGGGAGCAAACAGG